CAAAGAUUCGAACCUGCAGCAGGUUCGAGUUGAGCGCAGCGAAACAACGGAGCCGCUCGCGGCGACGGCCCGAAGGGCGAGCGAAGCGAGUCAUCCUGCACGACCCACCA
rnacentral:sRNA from 1 species